rnacentral:rRNA from 1 species
GAGUUUGAUCAUGGCUCAGGACGAACGCUGGCGGCGUGCCUAACACAUGCAAGUCGAACGGGGUCUGCCCAGCAAUGGACGGACCUAGUGGCGAACGGGUGAGUAACGCGUGAGGAACCUGCCUUUCAGUGGGGGACAACAGUUGGAAACGACUGCUAAUACCGCAUAAUACAUUUAGUGGGCAUCCACGGAAUGUCAAAGAUUUAUUGCUGAAAGAUGGCCUCGCGUCUGAUUAGCUAGUUGGCGGGGUAACGGCCCACCAAGGCGACGAUCAGUAGCCGGUCUGAGAGGAUGAACGGCCACAUUGGGACUGAGAUACGGCCCAGACUCCUACGGGAGGCAGCAGUGGGGAAUAUUGGGCAAUGGGCGCAAGCCUGACCCAGCAACGCCGCGUGAGGGAAGAAGGCUUUCGGGUUGUAAACCUCUUUUACCAGGGACGAAGGACGUGACGGUACCUGGAGAAAAAGCAACGGCUAACUACGUGCCAGCAGCCGCGGUAAUACGUAGGUUGCAAGCGUUGUCCGGAUUUACUGGGUGUAAAGGGCGUGUAGGCGGAACUGCAAGUCAGAUGUGAAAUACCGGGGCUCAACCCCGGGGCUGCAUUUGAAACUGUAGUCCUUGAGUAUCGGAGAGGCAAGCGGAAUUCCUAGUGUAGCGGUGAAAUGCGUAGAUAUUAGGAGGAACACCAGUGGCGAAGGCGGCUUGCUGGACGACAACUGACGCUGAGGCGCGAAAGCGUGGGGAGCAAACAGGAUUAGAUACCCUGGUAGUCCACGCUGUAAACGAUGAAUACUAGGUGUGGGGGGGACUGACCCCCUCCGUGCCGGAGUUAACACAAUAAGUAUUCCACCUGGGGAGUACGACCGCAAGGUUGAAACUCAAAGGAAUUGACGGGGGCCCGCACAAGCAGUGGAUUAUGUGGUUUAAUUCGACGCAACGCGAAGAACCUUACCAGGAUUUGACAUCCAACUAACGAGGCAGAGAUGCGUUAGGUACCCUUCGGGGGAAGUUGAGACAGGUGGUGCAUGGUUGUCGUCAGCUCGUGUCGUGAGAUGUUGGGUUAAGUCCCGCAACGAGCGCAACCCCUAUUGUUAGUUGCUACGAAAGAGCACUCUAGCGAGACUGCCGUUGACAAAACGGAGGAAGGCGGGGACGACGUCAAAUCAUCAUGCCCCUUACGUCCUGGGCUACACACGUAAUACAAUGGCGGUCAACAAAGGGAAGCAAAGCCGCGAGGUGGAGCAAAUCCCCAAAAGCCGUCUCAGUUCGGAUUGCAGGCUGCAACUCGCCUGCAUGAAGCUGGAAUUGCUAGUAAUCGCGGAUCAGCAUGCCGCGGUGAAUACGUUCCCGGGCCUUGUACACACCGCCCGUCACACCAUGAGAGUCGGGAACACCCGAAGUCCGUAGUCUAACCGCAAGGGGGGCGCGGCCGAAGGUGGGCUCGGUAAUUGGGGUGAAGUCGUAACAAGGUA